GCAAUUAAGUAUAGCAUGGCAGCACUGCAUCCCUGUUAAUGGGAAAGUCCAGGCUAAAGCUAUCAACCUGGUAAAGGAUCUGGGGUAUCAUUUAUAAAA